rnacentral:rRNA from 1 species
ACGGCUCAUUACAACAGCCAUAGUUUCUUAGGUGUUAUCCUUACUCGGAUACCUCUGGUAACCUAAGAGCUAAUACGCGACAAAAAUGCUCGACCGUCAAGGCGGGUUGCGUUUAUUAGACCAAAACCAAUGGGCAUUGCCCUACUUUGGUGAAUCUGAAUAACUGGCUGAUCGCACGGUCCAGCACCGGCGACAAACCUUACAAAUGUCUGUCUUAUCAACUUUCGAUGGUAGUUUAUGCGCCUACCAUGGUUGUAACGGGUAACGGAGAAUUAGGGUUCGACUCCGGAGAGGGAGCCUGAGAAACGGCUACCACAUCCAAGGAAGGCAGCAGGCACGCAAAUUACCCACUCCCGGCACGGGGAGGUAGUGACGAAAAAUAACGAGACGGUUCUCUAAGAGGCCCGUCAUCGGAAUGGGUACAAUUUAAAUCCUUUAACGAGGAUCUAUUGGAGGGCAAGUCUGGUGCCAGCAGCCGCGGUAAUUCCAGCUCCAGAAGCGUAUAUUAAAGUUGUUGCGGUUAAAAAGCUCGUAGUUGGAUCUGCGCCAUUGGCUUGUGGUCCCCAGAAUGGUGGUACUACAUUGUCAUGGUUUGCUAUCUAGUUUUCCCUUGGUGCUCUUCAUCGAGUGCUUUGGGUGACUGGAAUUUUUACUUUGAAAAAAUUAGAGUGCUCAAAGCAGGCGAUCAGCCUGAAUAGUGUUGCAUGGAAUAAAAGAAUAGGACUUUGGUUCUAUUUUGUUGGUUUUCGGAACUCGAAGUAAUGAUAAAAAGGGACAGACGGAGGCAUUCGUAUCGCGACGUUAGAGGUGAAAUUCUUGGAUCGCCGCGAGACGAACAACUGCGAAAGCGUUUGCCAAGAAUGUUUUCAUUAAUCAAGAACGAAAGUUAGAGGUUCGAAGGCGAUCAGAUACCGCCCUAGUUCUAACCGUAAACGAUGCCAGCUAGCGAUCCGUGGGAGUUAGACACAUGACUUUGCGGGCAGCUUCCGGGAAACCAAAGCUUUUGGGUUCCGGGGGAAGUAUGGUUGCAAAUCCGAAACUUAAAGGAAUUGACGGAAGGGCACCACCAGGAGUGGAGCCUGCGGCUUAAUUUGACUCAACGCGGGAAAACUCACCCGGCCCGGACACCGUAAGGAUUGACAGAUUGAGAGCUCUUUCUUGAUUCGGUGGGUGGUGGUGCAUGGCCGUUCUUAGUUGGUGGAGCGAUUUGUCUGGUUAAUUCCGAUAACGAACGAGACUCUAGCCUACUAAACUAGGCGAUGGAUUUAUUUCAUUGAACUUCUUAGGGGGACCAAGGGCUUAUAGUCCUGAGACGCUGAGCAAUAACAGGUCAGUGAUGCCCUUAGAUGUUCGGGGCUGCACGCGGGCUACAUUGAAAGAUUCAGCGUGUUUGUUAACCUUGUUCGGCAGAGCAGGGUAACCAUGUGAAACUCUUUCGUGCUUGGGAUAAGAAAUUGCAAUUAUUUUCUUUGAACGAGGAAUUCCUAGUAAAUGCGGGUCAUCAUCUCGCGUUGAUUACGUCCCUGCCCUUUGUACACACCGCCCGUCGCUACUACCGAUUGGAUGAUUUAGUGAGGCCUUCGGACUGAGACCGUAUCGCCUUACGGGGUGGUUAGGUUCUC